rnacentral:rRNA from 1 species
UACGUAGGGCGCAAGCGUUGUCCGGAAUUAUUGGGCGUAAAGAGCUCGUAGGCGGCCAGUUGCGUCCGCUGUGAAAUCCCAGGGCUUAACCCUGGGCGUGCAGUGGAUACGGGCUGGCUGGAGGCAGGCAGGGGAGAACGGAAUUCCCGGUGGUAGCGGUGAAAUGCGCAGAUAUCGGGAGGAACACCGGUGGCGAAGGCGGUUCUCGGGCCUGUACUGGACCGCUGAGGAGCGAAAGCGUGGGGAGCGAACAGG